rnacentral:rRNA from 1 species
AUUGAACGCUGGCGGCAGGCCUAACACAUGCAAGUAGAGCGGGGUUUUCUGACCUAGCGGCGGACGGGUGAGUAAUGCGUAGGAAGCUACCCGAUAGAGGGGGAUACCAGUUGGAAACGACUGUUAAUACCGCAUAAUGUCUACGGACCAAAGUGUGGGACCUUCGGGCCACAUGCUAUCGGAUGUGCCUACGUGGGAUUAGCUCGUUGGUGAGGUAAUGGCUCACAAAGGCGACGAUCCCUACCUGGUUUGAGAGGAUGAUCAGCCACACUGGAACUGAGACACGGUGCCGACUCCUACGGGAGGCAGCAGUGGGGAAUAUUGGACAAUGGGCGCAAGCCUGAUCCAGCCAUGCCGCGUGUGUGAAGAAGGCCUUCGGGUUGUAAAGCACUUUCAGUAAGGAGGAAGCGUAGAGUGUUAAUAGUACUCAGCGUUGACGUUACUUACAGAAGAAGCACCGGCUAACUCUGUGCCAGCAGCCGCGGUAAUAC